UACGAAGGGGGCUAGCGUUGCUCGGGAUCACUGGGCGUAAAGGGUGCGUAGGCGGGUCUUUAAGUCAGGGGUGAAAUCCUGGAGCUCAACUCCAGAACUGCCUUUGAUACUGAAGAUCUUGAGUUCGGGAGAGGUGAGUGGAACUGCGAGUGUAGAGGUGAAAUUCGUAGAUAUUCGCAAGAACACCAGUGGCGAAGGCGGCUCACUGGCCCGAUACUGACGCUGAGGCACGAAAGUGUGGGGAUCAAACAGG
rnacentral:rRNA from 1 species